rnacentral:lncRNA from 1 species
AUAUAUAUAUAUAUAUAGCUAGGCUACUAUACUAUCGGUAGCACGGAGCGCUCCGUGCUACCAAGUUGUUUUCGAUGAUGCGGCUUCCAAAUCGACGAUCGGCUCCGUUAGACUUGAUCUACACUAUUGAAAGUAUUUAGAAACUAAAUUUCAUAAUUUUUCAAUAUCAUUUACCUAUCAAACAAGUAGUCUAAAAUUGAACGGCUGAAAAUA